rfam:Gossypium hirsutum cultivar TM-1 chromosome 24, whole genome shotgun sequence
AUUCCCUAUGAUAACUUUUAAACCAUGCUAAUGCUGAUAAUCCAGUGAUUAAAAUAUCUUUUGGAUUCAUUCUGAUCUGAGGGAACU